rnacentral:rRNA from 1 species
AUACGUAGGGUGCAAGCGUUAAUCGGAAUUACUGGGCGUAAAGCGUGAGAAGGCGGUUUUGUAAGGCAGAGGUGGAAUCCACGGGCUCAACCUGGGAACUGCCUUUCUGACUGCAAGGCUAGAGUAUGGCAGAGGGGGGUGGAAUUUCCAGUGUAGCAGGGAAAUGCGUAGAUAUGCGGAGGAACACCGAUGGCGAAGGCAAUCCCCUGGGCCUGUACUGACGCUCAUGCACGAAAGCGUGGGGAGCAAACAGGAUUAGAUACCCUGGUAGUCCACGCCCUAAACGAUGUCAACUGGUUGUUGGGUCUUCAUUGACUCAGUAACGAAGCUAACGCGUGAAGUUGACCGCCUGGGGAGUACGGCCGCAAGGUUGAAACUUAAAGGAAUUGACGGGG